rnacentral:rRNA from 1 species
GAUGAACGCUGGCGGCGUGCUUAACACAUGCAAGUCGAACGAUGACGCCCAGCUUGCUUGGUGUAUUAGUUGCCAACUGGUGAGUAACACGUGAGUAACCUGCCCUUGACUCUUUCAUAAGCCUUGGCAACUAGGUCUAUUACUUGAUAUGACUUCUCAUCUCCUGGUGGGGGCUGGAAAUCUUUAUUGGUCUUGGAUGUACUCGCGGCCUAUCAGCUUGUUCGUGGGGUAAUGGCUCACCAAGGCGACGACGGCUAGCCGUCCUGAGAGGGGGACCGGCGACAAUGGGACUGAGACACGGCGCAGAGUCGAACGGGAGGCAGCAGGGGGGAGUAUUACACAGUGGGAGCAAGCCUGAUGCAGCGACGCCGGGUGAGGGAUGACGGCCUUUGGGUUGUAAACAUCUGUAGGUAGGGAAGAAGCGGGAGUGACGGUACCUGAAGAAGAAGCGCCGGCUAACUACGUG